GGUAGUGGUGGUUGUGGUGGUA
rnacentral:siRNA from 1 species